UCCGCAUCAAAAUUGUGAAUAUAUAAUAAUUUGUGUAAUUUUAUUGACUUUAUUGCGUGCAAGUGCUUCCUCUACGUCGUCAUCAUGCAAUUUAAUUGUUAAAUUUUGUGGAGACAACUGUUUAGUAGCUUCAUUGAAGUAUAAGUAUACGUGCAGUUAUUUGUUGGGAAGCUGAAAUAAAUUUGGAUUAGUGAAGUGAAAAGCAAAUGAGCAAUAGUGAAUAUAGAAAUAUGCACAGCUGUUCUGUGUUUAUGUACUUUGACAAGAUUUUGAUUUCGCUUGUAAAUAAUUUUCUUAACCCUGAAAUUUAAAAUUGCAGAGUUAAAAUUGUAUAGCAUGCAAAUUUUCCUCCGACAUUGCAAAAUGUUUUGCAAAGAGUGAAAAUGCAAUAGUAAUGAUAGUAAACAAAUAAAAUAAAUAUCUAAUAUCAAAUGAAAAUAUG